GGAAGCGUGCCUGAACAAAGGACUAUUUUGAUAGAAUAGAUAACAGAGGCUAUAAACCUCUCACUUCCU
rnacentral:tRNA from 1 species